UGAUACCAGGGUCAAAAAGUCAUUUACCAACAUGAGCUUGCUCAUAGGUGGGUGAAUGACCUUGUGACACCAAAAAAAAUAUGAGCAUAAAAGUGAGAUGAUAGUCCACGAUAUGCGAAUAUGGGACGGGUGCUAUGUGCCAGUGGCACAUGUUUAGCGCGGACCGAAGCGGAGCGUAGAUGUGGGAGUGCGUAGCACGGAACAAUCCGUGGGUAUCA
rnacentral:sRNA from 1 species